UGCAGCAGAGACUUUCCAGGGAGCAAACAUGCACCCUGACUCUGUUUGACCUGAAUGUGACGGAACCCUAAAUAGUAUUAAUGGAAACACCUGUGUUGACCUACUGUUCAUAAUGAUCAAGAGUGAUGCAGCAGAACGACAGGAGGUCUUUUUGUUUUGUUUUUGAACAAAUGCUCAUAAUGCAACUGAGAUGCUAGUAGUAGCUAAUGUAGCCUCAAGCCUCUAGCUUCAACCAAAGGUGAGGAGCUGGCAACACAUCUGACUCCCCUUGAGGUUGCCCAGCAGGCGGUCGAUGCAGACGUACACUGUGUCGGGGUCAGCACGCUUGCCGAAGCACAAGACACGACACUGGUCCCAGAGCUCAUUAAGGAACCAUGGAAGCUUAACAGGCCAGAUAUCCUCGUCAUCUGUGGAGGCGUCAUCCCACCACAGGUCUAUGAGUUCUUGUACCAGAGCGGUGUGUGUGCCAUCUUCGGCCCAGGAACCAGGAUCCCACAAGCUGCAGUGGACGUUGUUGAUAACAUUGAGAAGAGCCUAGAAAACAUCCGUCAGGCCAUGUGAACUCUUUAAAAAAACAGAACUACAUCUUAAAGAACUGUCUAUCUGUGCUGUAUCCACAAGAAAGUCACAAGUGGGGGGCUCUCUGUACAGAACCUGCAAAAAAAAUUGUCAUUCCCCAGCGUGAGAACACAGCAUGUACAGCAGUCAGAAUCAUUAAUAAACCUGUUGAGGUGUCUUGGUUACAUCAUGUUUAGAUUUGUUAAUUGGCGGUAUCGUUCAGUUCUAAAGGAAAUCCUGUCAGACGAACCCUCUUCAGUUAAUAAGUAGUGAUUUCAUUAAUCUCUCAAAGGUCAAGUAAUAAUUUCAUGCUUAUAUAAAAAUUGCAGUGUCAUAUGCGUGGGAACCCUCAAUGCUUUUAUUGUGAAAUUUGUGU